GAUGAACGCUGGCGGCGUGCUUAAACACAUGCAAGUCGAACGGUGAAGGAGGAGCUUGCUCUUCUGGAUCAGUGGCGAACGGGUGAGUAACACGUGAGCAAUCUGCCCUUGACUCUGGGAUAACAGUUGGAAACAGCUGCUAAUACCGGAUACGAGACGUGACCGCAUGGUCAACGUCUGGAAAGAACUUCGGUCAAGGAUGAGCUCACGGCCUAUCAGCUAGUUGGUGAGGUAAUGGCUCACCAAGGCGACGACGGGUAGCCGGCCUGAGAGGGUGGACGGCCACACUGGAACUGAGACACGGUCCAGACUCCUACGGGAGGCAGCAGUGGGGAAUAUUGCACAAUGGGGGAAACCCUGAUGCAGCGACGCCGCGUGAGCGAAGAAGGCCUUCGGUCGUAAGCGUCUCGUCCUACGGGUAAGGAAGGAAGGACGGUACCGUUACGGAGGGUAAGGACCCCGGGCCGUAACCGUAACCGUACGUCCGACGCCGACGCCCGCCGGGUAACGGACGGUAACGUCCGUUA
rnacentral:rRNA from 1 species